rnacentral:rRNA from 1 species
UACGGAGGGUGCAAGCGUUAAUCGGAAUUACUGGGCGUAAAGCGUGCGUAGGUGGUUCGUUAAGUCCGUUGUGAAAGCCCCGAGCUCAACUUGGGAAUUGCAGUGGAUACUGGCGAGCUGGAGUGCGGUAGAGGAAGGUGGAAUUCCCGGUGUAGCGGUGAAAUGCGUAGAGAUCGGGAGGAACACCAGUGGCGAAGGCGGCCUUCUGGACCAGCACUGACGCUCAUGCACGAAAGCGUGGGGAGCAAACAGG